UGCAAAUAUGAUAAUUUUGGUCACAAAGCCAGUCUUGUCUAAAAUGGAAUUUGGAACCUUAGUGCGUCACAAUUAGUAAAUUAAGGUUGCGUUUGGUUACAAUUAUGUCAACAAAUCGCUCCUUCACGGGCAAAUCGCCCCCUCCGCCCCACUUCACGUCCCUAAAUGGGACGUGAUCACGGCCGUUUGAGAUCACGGCCAUUUGAAACUGAAAAGCCCUAUACGGAUUGAUAAUGCAGUGCAUGCUUCCAGAAGGAUGCAUAUCCAAGAACUAUGGCAUGCCCUGCCGAAGGAACCUAUCACGUGGAAUAGGUGGUUGGAGUUUGUUGGUCCCCAGUGGUGACAAAGUGCACAGUUGGGUGCCAGACCGAUCUCCUGGUCAUGAACAGAUGCCAGAGGAAGCAAAGCUUGUCAGGCAAGACCUCAAAAUAAAAGUUUGUCAUGCGACACAAGUACCCUUAACUCCUAUGAAAGUCUCCCUCGACUUCUAUUAAAAGGACACGCAAUCAUGAGGCCUCUGAUAGUGACCCGAGUUAAUGCCCUGAUUACACAGAUGGCUUCAUCAACAAUGAAAGGCCCUCCCAGUCAACACCACCUUGUAAGAUUGCCUACUGCAGGGCCUCCCGAGUGGCGCAGCGGUCUAAGGCACUGCAUCACAGUGCUAGAGGCGUCACUACAGAUCCGGGUUCGAUCCCAGGCUGUGUUGCUGCCGUCUGUGACCGGGAGACCCGGUGUUUCCUCCGACACAUUGGUGUGGCUGGUUUCCGGGUUAAGCAGGCAGUGUGUCAAGAAGCAGUGCGGCUUGUCAGGGUCGUGUUUCGGAGGACGCAUGGCUCUCGACCUUCACCUCUCCUGUGUCCAUACGGGAGUUGCAGCGAUGGGACAAGGCUGUAACAAUUGGAUUUCACGAAAAAUUGUUUAAAAAAUGUAAUAAUAAAAGACUGUCUGC
rnacentral:lncRNA from 1 species